AUUGAACGCUGGCGGCAGGCCUAACACAUGCAUGUCGAGCGGGGUUUUCGGACCUAGCGGCGGACGGGUGAGUAAUGCGUAGGAAGCUGCCCGAUAGAGGGGGAUACCAGUUGGAAACGACUGUUAAUACCGCAUAAUGUCUACGGACCAAAGUGUGGGACCUUCGGGCCACAUGCUAUCGGAUGCGCCUACGUGGGAUU
rnacentral:rRNA from 1 species